AAAGGGUCCGUAGGCGGUUUAAUAAGUCAGUGGUGAAAGCCCAUCGCUCAACGGUGGAACGGCCAUUGAUACUGUUAAACUUGAAUUAUUAGGAAGUAACUAGAAUAUGUAGUGUAGCGGUGAAAUGCUUAGAGAUUACAUGGAAUACCAAUUGCGAAGGCAGGUUACUACUAAUGGAUUGACGCUGAUGGACGAAAGCGUGGGUAGCGAACAGGAUUAGAUACCCUGGU
rnacentral:rRNA from 1 species